UAGGGAAUCUUCCGCAAUGGCCGCAAGUCUGCCGGAGCAACGCCGCGUGAGUGAAGAAGGAUUUCGGUUCGUAAAACUCUGUUGUUAGAGAAGAACAGCGCAUAGAGUAACUGUUAUGCGUGUGACGGUAUCUAACCAGAAAGCCACGGCUAACUACGUGCCAGCAGCCGCGGUAAUACGUAGGUGGCAAGCGUUGUCCGGAUUUAUUGGGCGUAAAGCGAGCGCAGGCGGUCAAUUAAGUCUGAUGUGAAAGCCCCCGGCUCAACCGGGGAGGGUCAUUGGAAACUGGUUGACUUGAGUGCAGAAGAGGAGAGUGGAAUUCCAUGUGUAGCGGUGAAAUGCGUAGAUAUAUGGAGGAACACCAGUGGCGAAGGAGACUCUCUGGUCUGUAACUGACGCUGAGGCUCGAAAGCGUGGGUAGCAAACAGG
rnacentral:rRNA from 1 species